rnacentral:lncRNA from 1 species
UUUUUUUUUUUUUUCCCAAAAGCUGUGUUUCCCAGAACAUGGGAAUAGGACCACACCUGGGAAAACUGUCUUUCCAAAUGUGGUUGAGAUGAGGUAAUCUUGGUUAGAGUGGCCCUAAUUUCAAUGACAGAGUCCUGAUAAGAGUCAAAAGAGGAGACACAGAAACAGAGGAGAAGCCAUGUGAAGAUGAGGCAGAGAUGGGAGGGAGGCAGGCACAAGCCUGGAGACCCCUGGACCCCCUCCCCCACCCCCGAAGCUGGAAGAGGCAGGAAGAACCCUCCCCUGGAGCCUCUGGAGGGACCUCAGCCCUGAAACACCUUGAUCUCAGAUGUCUGGUCUCUAGGACUGGGGGAGGAUGGAUUCCUCUUGUUUGAAACCACCCAGCUUGUGGUCAUUUUUUAGAGAGGCCACAGAAGAGUCACAGACCCUGCUCUAUAGGAUCCUGGAAGCGUGAGUGUCUCUAAAGGCCAAUAAAGGCCAGAUUACAGAGACCUCAGAGUCAGCACUGGGCCCCCAGAAAUCCCAAAAGCAGUGGCAGGACACUAGAAUGUUGGUCAAGUCUGAAGCCCUUCCCUAAGCGUGCUGGCUGCACACAGCCUCCCCAGCUUCUUUCCCCUGUACACAUGGGGAAUUUUAACCCCAAUUGAGGACCUUUGAUAUAGCUGUUCACACUACUAAUUAAGAACCCAUCAUUACACAGAUAAAAACCCAAUUAGGACACUUACUACACUGAUGAACAAUUGUGAAGUUGCUCAGGGGUGGGAAAUUUUCUCCUAUGCAGACAGCAGCCCCGCAUAUGAAGCAUCUUCACUGGAAAGCUGAUGGACCGUGUGGAGGGGUCUCUAGGUAAAUGUUGGUAAAUGCUGCUCCUGAGCCUCAUCCACCCUUCCCAGGUAAACUACCUGAAUAUGUGCAUAGACUUUCAAAGCUGGAAGAAAGGGUGUGGCACCAUGCCCAUGAAGCAUGCUUGCUGAAUUGGCAUCUGCAGGCCAUGCAGGAUGGUUUUGGCCUAAGGGCUUUUCUGGAAGCCUUCACUUUGCCUAAAUUAUUCCUCCUCUCUGAACCCUCUCCACCUUUUUCUUGCUUUCCCACCUCUGCCUGGGGAGAACUUCCAGUGGCAGAUACGGCUGACACAUCUCUUUCUAAGCAAAUGGCCUAGCAACUCCUGUGUCAGGUCCAGCAGAGGCCCACUCAGACUGGGCCACCUGCAAGGCCGUGAUUCCUCACUACCUUUAACUAGCCCAGCUUCGUGACUGCUGAUGAGAUAGAAAGCAUGAGCUCAGAUACAGCUGCAGGUACUUGUGUUGCCUAGAAGGGCUAUUUAUACAGAUCUCAACCCAGCACACCUGGGAAGGGCUGGCUGAAUGGCUCAGGCUGCCUAGGUCAGGCAGUCCUCACCCAUCAGGGGUUCAUGGUUGCAGAAAAUGGGCCUUGCUGCAUGGGCCAAGUCCAAGGAACAGGUGGGGGAUCUUAGCGUCAGGGCGGACAUGGGGCUGCAGCUCUAGCUUGUUUUCUAAUCAUUUUAACUGGCCCAUGACUGGGAGACAAUGUCAAAAAGACCCUCUCCUCAUGAGAGAAAUCCUGGAAUUAGGGAUAGGAGGGGAGGUGGGUGGAGACAGAGGCCAGAUACUCUGGGCACAGUGGAAGCCUCUAGAAAACCCAGAGGAGGGAGGCUGCACAGAGUCAAGCCCAGGGGCACAGACCUCUCCAGGAGCUGCUGUUAGUUCAGGUCCUGCUCUGAGGUGCUCAGUGUCAGCUCUGAUAAGCGGGGCUGGGGGUGGAGCUCUGUGCAUGGUUCCUGUAUGCUGAGCCCUGUCAGGGUACCUGCUCAGGUGAGCUCCAUAUCCUGGGAAGGGCCCGCCCACAUGAGCCCCGAGCACCGGUAGGGGUAUAUGAACAAGCGUUCUCUCUUUGCAGCUAGCACAGAGUUGCUUAGGAUGAUUCCCCUGUGGGUAUUGUUGGAAUGAGGUGAGAACCAGAAGAUCUAGCGUGCCAAGGUCGGUGGGUAGGUGAUGGCCACUGUGCCGCUUGAGGGAGGCCCCAUGAGUACCUCUUCUUCCACCUGACAACAUAGAAGCUUUCCUAGGACAGAGUGGACAUCCUGCCCUAAGCUGGUGGGAGCUCCUGGGGACCCUGCGGGGGAAGUGAGAGAAAGGGAAGUGGGUGCCCAGGAAGAGCUGUGGGGUUGAGGACCAAGGAAGUCUUCUUUCUGGGUUUGAGCUGGGAAUGGACGAGCAGGUGGUGAGUGUGAUCCAGGAGAGCUCCCAUCAAAGGAAGGAUUUGUAACACAAAUCCCACCAAAGAGAAGGUUUGCACAGUGAAUCUUCCUAAAAGGAGGCUCUGUGAGCCAGUCCCCUCAGAGGUGGGAUGUGGGAUCUACCAGGAGCAGGUAAUCACCCUGAGUGGGUAGUGGGUGCACUUUCUACUCAUCAUUGUCCACAAUAUAUGCCUGGGCCUGUCGAUAUCAGGAUCCCUUAAUUUAGGCAUCCUCAGAUAGCAGCCGUUUUUAGGAAUAAAGGGGGAACAGCUCAUGAGUGCAAAGACAUUUUCCAAGGACACUAAUAUUCGAUGACUCUACUGCUUGGUUGUUGACUUCAGUCAUAGUUCUCCUGAUUUUGGAUCUGAUGUGGGGAUUAUAGAGGAGUCAGAAUUUAAAUCUUCAUAAUCUGUGUAUUUGUGGCUCCAGUAUCGUUGAUGACCCGUGGUUUUAUGCUUAAGGAAAGAAUAUUAACUUUAUAUAUCAUGUAAAGAAUUUGCAAUGAUGAUAUGACAAAUAAGGUUAUAAUGGUGGCUAAUGAAUGGUUCAGGUUGUCCUACUUGUGCAUCUAGUGUACGCAUAUGAGUCGUUUUAGUUGUCAACAGGAUGGAUGCUCUAGCGGGGACCUGGGACGGUGGAAUUGGGCCACUUCUGAUCUGUCCUUGUGGGAGCCUGGGCUGCACGACAAGAAACUCUGGGCUAAUUCUGGGUCCUGACCACCACGUGACCAGAGAAAUUGAUGACAUUUUUGCUUUGCCUGUUGAAAUGUUUAAUGACAAACAUUUUGUGCAGUUUCCCAAUGUAGGUGAACUGUGGAGGUUGAAGAUUUAUUCUCCAAGAAAUGAACAUCCUACUUCUCGCCAAGGGUGAGCCCCUGUCCAGAGGUGAGAGACCCCAUAUGUAUGAUCUGUGCCUCCCAGGAGAGCAGCCCUAAAUUAGUUUAAAUCUGAGUGAGUUCUAUGUGGUAGAUUUAGACCUUUCCAUGCCCUGUCUACACUGCAUAUGUUUAGACCUAGCCAGAUUCCACCCAUGCUAGGAUGUGGAGACCUGGGUAGAGACCCAGCCUCAGUCCUGAGAGCUUUGGUGGGUGGGAGGAACAUGGGGUCCUGGGUAGAGAUGCAGACUGGCCUUAGACCUAGGAAGCUCUGAGCCUCUGUCCAGAUGCUAUGCUUAGAUGUCAGGUAUGGAGCUGAGGUGUGCUUGUCUAGUCAUAGCCUCUGAUCUGAGGUUGGUUUUCUACCCUCCCAGGGGUCAUGGCUGUGGGAGGGGCCUUAGUCCUUACCCCUGGGGAUGGUGGAGGCUCUUCAGGUGAGCUACCUCAUAAUUAAACCAAUUCACCAGUGAGUUCUUGCUGUGGUGCGGUGGGUUAAGAACCUGAUUGCAGGGAGUUCCCAUUGUGGUUCAGCAGAAACAAACCCCACUAGUACUGUGAGGAUGUGGGUUCAAUCUCUGGCCCCGCCCAGUGGGUUAAGGAUCUGGUGUUCCCACAAGCUGUGGUCACAAACACAGCUCAGAUCUGGCAUGGCUGUGACUGUUGUGUAGGCCAGCAGCUGUAGCUUGGAUUUGGCCCCUAGCCUGAGAACUUCCACAUGCUGCACCUGCAGCCCUUAAAAAAAAAAAAUCCGCAGCGGCUCUAGUUGCUUCAAAGGUGCAGGUUCAAUCCCUGGCCUGGCACAGUGGGUUGUGCUGCUGCAGCUCAUAUUCAAUCCCUGGCCCAGUAACUUCCAAAUGCUGUGGGUGCGGCCAUUAAAAGAAAUAAAUAAAAAUAGACUAAUUCACCAGGAUGCACAGGAUGAGGAGGGAAGUAGGUUUGCCUGGUGAACUGAUUGCUGGCAGGUGGGUCUGGGUGUAAGGCCCAUCAGCAGUGGCAAAAUUUGCCUCUGGGUUCUCCUUGCAGUUGCCGAUCUUACUCAGCAGAGUCCAGACGUGCACCUCCUCUUUCAGCC